UNUGACUUGAGUGCAGAAGGGGAGAGUGGAAUUCCAUGUGUAGCGGUGAAAUGCGUAGAUAUAUGGAGGAACACCAGUGGCGAAAGCGGCUCUCUGGUCUGUCACUGACGCUGAGGCUCGAAAGCGUGGGUAGCGAACAGGAUUAGAUACCCUGGUAGUNCACGCCGUAAACGAUGAGUGCUAGGUGUUAGGCCCUUUCCGGGGCUUAGUGCCGGAGCUAACGCAAUAAGCACUCCGCCUGGGGAGUACGACCGCAAGGUUGAAACUCAAAGGAAUUGACGGGGGCCCGCACAAGCGGUGGAGCAUGUGGUUUAAUUCGAAGCAACGCGAAGAACCUUACCAGGUCUUGACAUCCCGAUGCUAUUCUUAGAGAUAGGAAGUUACUUCAGUACAUCGGAGACAGGUGGUGCAUGGUUGUCGUCAGCUCGUGUCGUGAGAUGUUGGGUUAAGUCCCGCAACGAGCGCAACCCUUAUUGUUAGUUGCCAUCAUUAAGUUGGGCACUCUAGCGAGACUGCCGGUAAUAAACCGGAGGAAGGUGGGGAUGACGUCAAAUCAUCAUGCCCCUUAUGACCUGGGCUACACACGUGCUACAAUGGUCGGUACAACGAGUUGCGAGCCGGUGACGGCAAGCUAAUCUCUGAAAGCCGAUCUCAGUUCGGAUUGGAGGCUGCAACUCGCCUCCAUGAAGUCGGAAUCGCUAGUAAUCGCGGAUCAGCACGCCGCGGUGAAUACGUUCCCGGGCCUUGUACACACCGCCCGUCACACCACGAGAGUUUGUAACACCCGAAGUCGGUGAGGUAACCUUUUAGGGGCCAGCCGCCUAAGGUGGGNGGGAUGAU
rnacentral:rRNA from 1 species